AGACACAGGUGCUGCAUGGCUGUCGGUCAGCUCGUGUCGUGAGAUGUUGGGUUAAGUCCCGUAACGAGCGCAACCCUUGUCCUUAGUUACCAGCACGUAAUGGUGGGCACUCUAAGGAGACUGCCGGUGACAAACCGGAGGAAGGUGGGGAUGACGUCAAGUCAUCAUGGCCCUUACGGCCAGGGCUACACACGUGCUACAAUGGUCGGUACAAAGGGUUGCCAAGCCGCGAGGUGGAGCUAAUCCCAUAAAACCGAUCGUAGUCCGGAUCGCAGUCUGCAACUCGACUGCGUGAAGUCGGAAUCGCUAGUAAUCGUGAAUCAGAAUGUCACGGUGAAUACGUUCCCGGGCCUU
rnacentral:rRNA from 1 species